CAAUAGCGUAUAUUAAAGUUGUUGCAGUUAAAAAGCUCGUAGUUGGAUUUGUGGCUGUCACGGGCGGCCUAUCACUUAGUGUUAGUGCUUGCCUGUGUCGCCAUCCUUGGGUGGAGCCCGUGUGGCAUUAGGUUGUCGUGCGGGGGAUGUCCAUCGUUUACUGUGAGAAAAUUAGAGUGUUCAAAGCAGGCUUAUGCCGUUGAAUAUGUUAGCAUGGAAUAAUAAGAUAGGACCUCGGUACUAUUUUGUUGGUUUGCGCACCGAGGUAAUGAUUAAUAGGGACAGUUGGGGGUAUUCGUAUUUCAUUGUCAGAGGUGAAAUUCUUGGAUUUCUGAAAGACGAACUACUGCGAAAGCAUUUACCAAGGAUGUUUUCAUUAA
rnacentral:rRNA from 1 species